CAAUUUCCCAUAGGAACUCCCUUUGAGGCUAACGCUGUGCAAAAUUAACUACAGAGUUUCUUAAAAAAUUAUAUUCUAGAAAGGAAAGUUGAUGUGCACUACUUUUUUAUUCAAAGGUCAAAAUAUAGGGCUGUUAGGCCUAUUUUCAACAUUUAUAUUCCCUGAACUUCUAAACUUAUACUAAAAUUAUGUAAUACCCCUACUUUUAUUUUUGUUUUUGGUCUGCCUCAGCAUUCAUUUUUCACCGGUACUUCGUGUGUUUAUACUGAUGACAUUCCCAACAUAUCUCUCUUUGGAAUGAAACAUAGAGAUCGUUUCUGGGAACCAGUAGGUCAACAAAUUAAAACAUCUAUGAAUUUAAUAUAUCUCCCAGUGUGGCUUGUGAAACAGUUGUAUUUACAUAUGUGCAAACUAUACAUCUUCUACAUAUCAGAGACUUAAGUAACAUACCAUCACGUUUGAUUAAUGUGCUUUGUUGUCUUUUUUAUUUCUUUUCACAAGGGAAAUAUUUGUUGCACAACAAGUGAGGGAGUUGAGGCAAUAUAUGCGUUAUUGAUUUUACAUAGGCG
rnacentral:lncRNA from 1 species